ACGAACGCUGGCGGCGUGCCUAAUCCAUGCAAGUCGAGCGAGUCUGCCUUGAAGAUCGGAGUGCUUGCACUCUGUGAAACAAGAUACAGGCUAGCGGCGGACGGGGGAGUAACCCGUGGGUAACCUGCCCAAGAGAUCGGGAUAACACCUGGAAACAGAUGCUAAUACCGGAUAACAACAGAUGAUGCCUAUCAACUGUUUAAAAGAUGGUUCUGCUAUCACUCUUGGAUGGACCUGCGGUGCAUUAGCUAGUUGGUAGGGUAACGGCCUACCAAGGCGAUGAUGCAUAGCCGAGUUGAGAGACUGAUCGGCCACAUUGGGACUGAGACACGGCCCAAACUCCUACGGGAGGCAGCAGUAGGGAAUCUUCCACAAUGGACGCAAGUCUGAUGGAGCAACGCCGCGUGAGUGAAGAAGGGUUUCGGCUCGUAAAGCUCUGUUGUUGGUGAAGAAGGACAGGGGUAGUAACUGACCUUUGUUUGACGGUAAUCAAUUAGAAAGUCACGGCUAACUACGUG
rnacentral:rRNA from 1 species